UACGUAGGUGGCAAGCGUUGUCCGGAUUUACUGGGCGUAAAGGGCGUGCAGGCGGUCUGUUAAGUGCAGGGUGAAAGCUCCCGGCUCAACUGGGAGAGGUCCUUGCAUACUGGCGGACUUGUGGGGGGUAGAGGAAAGUGGAAUUCCCGGUGUAGUGGUGAUAUGCGUAGAUAUCGGGAGGAACACCUGUGGCGAAGGCGGCUUUCUGGGCCCUACCUGACGCUGAGACGCGAAAGCGUGGGGAGCGAACCGG
rnacentral:rRNA from 1 species